UACAGAGGUCCCAAGCGUUGUUCGGAUUCAUUGGGCGUAAAGGGUGCGUAGGCGGCAUGACAAGUCACUUGUGAAAUCUCCGGGCUUAACUCGGAACGGUCAAGUGAUACUGUCGCGCUAGAGUGCGGAAGGGGCAAUCAGAAUUCUUGGUGUAGCGGUGAAAUGCGUAGAUAUCAAGAGGAAUACCUGAGGUGAAGACGGGUUGCUAGGCCGACACUGACGCUGAAGCGCGAAAGCCAGGGGAGCAAACGGG
rnacentral:rRNA from 1 species